AGAGUUUGAUCCUGGCUCAGGACGAACGCUGGCGGCGUGCUUAACACAUGCAAGUCGAGCGGUAAGGCCCUUUUGGGGGUACACGAGCGGCGAACGGGUGAGUAACACGUGGGUGACCUGCCCCUUACUCUGGGAUAAGCCUGGGAAACUGGGUCUAAUACCGGAUAGGACUUCAUGCUGCAUGGUGUGGGGUUGAAAGUUUUUUCGGUGGGGGAUGGGCCCGCGGCCUAUCAGCUUGUUGGUGGGGUGAUGGCCUACCAAGGCUUCGACGGGUAGCCGGCCUGAGAGGGCGUCCGGCCACACUGGGACUGAGACACGGCCCAGACUCCUACGGGAGGCAGCAGUGGGGAAUAUUGCGCAAUGGGCGGAAGCCUGACGCAGCGACGCCGCGUGGGGGAUGACGGCCUUCGGGUUGUAAACCUCUUUCGGCCUCGACGAAGCCUUCGGGUGACGGUAGGGGUGGAAGAAGCACCGGCCAACUACGUGCCAGCAGCCGCGGUA
rnacentral:rRNA from 1 species